rnacentral:rRNA from 1 species
UACGGGGGGGCAAGCGUUGUUCGGAAUCAUUGGGCGUAAAGAGCGUGUAGGCGGCCCGAUAAGUCCGCUGUGAAAGUCCAGGGCUCAACCCUGGAAUGCCAGUGGAAACUGUCGGGCUGGAGUCCGGAAGAGGCGAGUGGAAUUCCUGGUGUAGCGGUGGAAUGCGCAGAUAUCAGGAGGAACACCCGUAGCGAAGGCGGCACUCUGGGCCGAUUCUGACACUGAGGAGCGAAAGCGUGGGGAGCGAACAGG